rnacentral:rRNA from 1 species
CCAAGUUCAAGACUGAUGUGCUAUGGGUGUGGAUACGUAUAUUCCACUCCUUUACAAUCUAUUACUUGUACCCGCACUGCUUGAGCCACAAUAAAAAUCUUCUAUGAAGGCCCUAUGUUGGGCUUAAGUAUAUACCCGCCUAUGUGACCAUCUAUGGCUCUACUAAUAUGAUCUCCAGUCCGAAAGGAUUUAAAUCAGAGGAUAACACGGAAGAUAAUACUAUAUGGGGAUUAUUGCUCAACGGGGCUGAGCCUGUAGCACCCAUGACGCGUGAAUCAAUUAUGACUUCGGGUUGUAAAGUACUUUCAGCGGGGAGGAAGGGAGUAAAGUUAAUACCUUUGCUCAUUGACGUUACCCGCAGAAGAAGCACCGGCUAACUCCGUGCCAGCAGCCGCGGUAAUACGGAAGGUGCAAGCGUUAAUCGGAAUUACUGGGCGUAAAGCGCACGCAGGCGGUUUGUUAAGUCAGAUGUGAAAUCCCCGGGCUCAACCUGGGAACUGCAUCUGAUACUGGCAAGCUUGAGUCUCGUAGAGGGGGGUAGAAUUCCAGGUGUAGCGGUGAAAUGCGUAGAGAUCUGGAGGAAUACCGGUGGCGAAGGCGGCCCCCUGGACGAAGACUGACGCUCAGGUGCGAAAGCGUGGGGAGCAAACAGGAUUAGAUACCCUGGUAGUCCACGCCGUAAACGAUGUCGACUUGGAGGUUGUGCCCUUGAGGCGUGGCUUCCGGAGCUAACGCGUUAAGUCGACCGCCUGGGGAGUACGGCCGCAAGGUUAAAACUCAAUGAAUUGACGGGGGCCCGCACAAGCGGUGGAGCAUGUGGUUUAAUUCGAUGCAACGCGAAGAACCUUACCUGGUCUUGACAUCCACAGACUUUUCCAGAGAUGGAAUUGGUGCCUUCGGGAAACUGUGAGACAGGUGCUGCAUGGCUGUCGUCAAGCUCGUGUUGUGAAAUGUUGGGUUAAGUCCCGCAACGAGCGCAACCCUUUAUCCUUUGUUGCCAGCGGUCCGGCCGGGGAACUCAAGGAGACUGCCAGGUGAUAAACUGGAGGGAAGGUGGGGGAUGACGUCAAGUCAUCAUGGGCCCUUACGACCAGGGCCUAACUCACGUGCUACAAUGGCGCAUACAAAGAAGAAGCGACCUUCGCGAGAGCCAGCGGACUUCAUAAGUGGCGGUCGUAGUCCGGAUUGGGAGUCUGCAACUCGACCUCCAUUGAAGCUCGGAAUCCGCUAGUAUUCGUGGAAUCCAGAAUGCCACGGUUGAAUUACGUUCACGGGUCCUUGUAACUACCCGUCCCGGUCAACUCAUGGGAAGUUGAAAUUGCCAAAGAAAGCUACGUGAGUCUUUAUGCCUUUGCGACGGUCUUAGCACGUUUGUGGGUAAUUCCAUGAGUACUCUGGAUG